rnacentral:rRNA from 1 species
AGUGGACGCAUCACUGGUGUUCGGGUUGUCAUGCCAAUGGCAUUGCCCGGUAGCUAAAUGCGGAAGAGAUAAGUGCUGAAAGCAUCUAAGCACGAAACUUGCCCCGAGAUGAGUUCUCCCUGAGACUAUAAGUCUCCUGAAGGAACGUUGAAGACGACGACGUUGAUAGGUCGGGUGUGUAAGUGUAGCGAUACAUUGAGCUAACCGAUACUAAUGAACCGUGAGGCUUAACCUU